UGGAAUGUUGUGAAGUAUGUGC
rnacentral:miRNA from 1 species